rnacentral:rRNA from 1 species
GACGAACGCUGGCGGCGUGCUUAACACAUGCAAGUCGAACGGAAAGGCCCUGCUUUUGUGGGGUGCUCGAGUGGCGAACGGGUGAGUAACACGUGAGUAACCUGCCCUUGACUUUGGGAUAACUUCAGGAAACUGGGGCUAAUACCGGAUAGGAGCUCCUGCUGCAUGGUGGUGGUUGGAAAGUUUCGGCGGUUGGGGAUGGACUCGCGGCUUAUCAGCUUGUUGGUGGGGUAGUGGCUUACCAAGGCUUUGACGGGUAGCCGGCCUGAGAGGGUGACCGGCCACAUUGGGACUGAGAUACGGCCCAGACUCCUACGGGAGGCAGAAGUGGGGAAUAUUGCACAAUGGGCGGAAGCCUGAUGCAGCAACGCCGCGUGCGGGAUGACGGCCUUCGGGUUGUAAACCGCUUUCGCCUGUGACGAAGCGUGAGUGACGGUAAUGGGUAAAGAAGCACCGGCUAACUACGUG